rnacentral:rRNA from 1 species
UACAGAGGUGGCAAGCGUUGUUCGGAAUUACUGGGCGUAAAGGGCGCGUAGGCGGCCAUCUAAGUCAGACGUGAAAUCCCCGGGCUCAACCCGGGAACUGCGUCCGAUACUGGAAGGCUUGAAUCCGGGAGAGGGAUGUGGAAUUCCAGGUGUAGCGGUGAAAUGCGUAGAUAUCUGGAGGAACACCGGUGGCGAAGGCGACAUCCUGGACCGGUAUUGACGCUGAGGCGCGAAAGCCAGGGGAGCAAACGGG